rnacentral:rRNA from 1 species
UACAGAGGUCUCAAGCGUUGUUCGGAUUCAUUGGGCGUAAAGGGUGCGUAGGCGGCGCGGUAAGUCGGGUGUGAAAUCUCGGGGCUUAACUCCGAAACUGCAUUCGAUACUACUAAACUUGAGUAUCGGAGGGGAUGGCGGAAUUCCCGGUGUAGAGGUGAAAUUCGUAGAUAUCGGGAGGAACACCUGUGGCGAAGGCGGCCAUCUGGAAGAUUACUGACGCUGAGACGCGAAAGCGUGGGGAGCAAACAGG